rnacentral:rRNA from 1 species
UACGGAGGGGGCUAGCGUUGUUCGGAAUUACUGGGCGUAAAGCGUACGUAGGCGGCUUUGUAAGUUAGAGGUGAAAGCCCGGGGCUCAACUCCGGAAUUGCCUUUAAGACUGCAUCGCUUGAAUCAUGGAGAGGUGAGUGGAAUUCCGAGUGUAGAAGUGAAAUUCGUAGAUAUUCGGAAGAACACCAGUGGCGAAGGCGACUCACUGGACAUGUACUGACGCUGAGGUACGAAAGCGUGGGGAGCAAACAGG